CGAAAGCGAAGAAACUUACAACAAAGAGUCCCUCCCGACUGUUUACCAAAAACACAGCACUCUGCUAACUCGUAAGAGGAUGUAUAGGGUGUGACGCCUGCCCGGUGCUCGAAGGUUAAUUGAUGGGGUUAGCAUUAGCGAAGCUCUUGAUCGAAGCCCGAGUAAACGGCGGCCGUAACUAUAACGGUCCUAAGGUAGCGAAAUUCCUUGUCGGUUAAAUACCGACCUGCAUGAAUGGCGUAACGAGAUGGGAGCUGUCUCAAAGAGGGAUCCAGUGAAAUUGUAGUGGAGGUGAAAAUUC
rnacentral:rRNA from 1 species